UACGUAGGGUGCAAGCGUUGUCCGGAAUUAUUGGGCGUAAAGAGCUCGUAGGCGGUCUGUCGCGUCUGCUGUGAAAACUCGGGGCUCAACUCCGAGCUUGCAGUCGAUACGGGCAGGCUAGAGUUCGGCAGGGGAGACUGGAAUUCCUGGUGUAGCGGUGAAAUGCGCAGAUAUCAGGAGGAACACCGGUGGCGAAGGCGGGUCUCUGGGCCGAUACUGACACUGAGGAGCGAAAGCGUGGGGAGCGAACAGG
rnacentral:rRNA from 1 species